CAGACAGACAGGUGUGGAACCGGUCAGACAGACAGACAGGUGUGGAACCAGUCAGACAGACAGACAGGUGUGGAACCAGUCAGACAGACAGAAAGGUGUGGAACCGGUCAGACAGACAGACAUGUGUGGAACCAGUCAGACAGACAGACAGGUGUGGAACCGGUCAGACAGACAGACAUGUGUGGAACCGGUCAGACAGACAGACAGGUGUGGAACCGGUCAGACAGACAGACAGGUGUGGAACCAGUCAGACAGACAGACAGGUGUGGAACCAGUCAGACAGACAGACAGGUGUGGAACCAGUCAGACAGACAGAAAGGUGUGGAACCGGUCAGACAGACAGACAGGUGUGGAACCGGUCAGACAGACAGAUAUGUGUGGAACCGGUCAGACAGACAGACAUGUGUGGAACCGGUCAGACAGACAGACAUGUGUGGAACCGGUCAGACAGACAGACAGGUGUGGAACCGGUCAGACAGACAGACAUGUGUGGAACCGGUCAGACAGACAGACAUGUGUGGAACCGGUCAGACAGACAGACAGGUGUGGAACCAGUCAGACAGACAGACGUGUGGAACCGGUCAGACAGACAGACAGGUGUGGAACCAGUCAGACAGACAGACAUGUGUGGAACCAGUCAGACAGACAGACAGGUGUGGAACCGGUCAGACAGACAGACAUGUGUGGAACCGGUCAGACAGACAGACAGGUGUGGAACCAGUCAGACAGACAGACAUGUGUGGAACCGGUCAGACAGACAGACAGGUGUGGAACCGGUCAGACAGACAGACAUGUGUGGAACCAGUCAGACAGACAGAAAGGUGUGGAACCAGUCAGACAGACAGACAGGUGUGGAA